UUUGUAUAAUGGGUCAGCGACUUAUAUUCAGUGGCAAGGUUAACCAUCUAGGGGAGCCGUAGGGAAACCGAGUCUUAACUGGGCGUUCAGUCUCUGGAUAUAGACCCGAAACCAGGUGAUCUAGCCAUGGGCAGGUUGAAGGUUGAGUAACAUCAACUGGAGGACCGAACCGACUAAUGUUGAAAAAUUAGCGGAUGACUUGUGGCUAGGGGUGAAAGGCCAAUCAAACCUGGAGAUAGCUGGUUCUCCCCGAAAGCUAUUUAGGUAGCGCCUCGGACGAAUACUACUGGGGGUAGAGCACUGUUAAGGCUAGGGGGUCAUCCCGACUUACCAACCCUUUGCAAACUCCGAAUACCAGUAAGUACUAUCCGGGAGACACACGGCGGGUGCUAACGUCCGUCGUGGAGAGGGAAACAACCCAGACCGCCAGCUAAGGUCCCAAAUUACUACUAAGUGGGAAACGAUGUGGGAAGGCUCAGACAGCCAGGAUGUUGGCUUAGAAGCAGCCAUCAUUUAAAGAAAGCGUAAUAGCUCACUGGUCGAGUCGGCCUGCGCGGAAGAUGUAACGGGGCUAAGUAGUAAACCGAAGCUGCGGCAAUACUCUUUGAGUAUUGGGUAGGGGAGCGUUCUGUAAGCGGUUGAAGGUGUGUGGUAACGCAUGCUGGACGUAUCAGAAGUGCGAAUGCUGACAUGAGUAACGAUAAAGGGGGUGAAAAACCUCCUCGCCGGAAGACCAAGGGUUCCUGUCCAACGUUAAUCGGGGCAGGGUAAGUCGACCCCUAAGGCGAGGCCGAAAGGCGUAGUCGAUGGGAAACGGGUUAAUAUUCCCGUACUUCUUACAAUUGCGAUGGGGGGACGGAGAAGGCUAGGUGGGCCUGGCGACGGUUGUCCAGGUUCAAGUGCGUAGGCUUAAGAGUUAGGUAAAUCCGGCUCUUUCUAAGGCUGAGACACGACGUCGA
rnacentral:rRNA from 1 species